UACGGAGGGUGCAAGCGUUAUCCGGAUUCACUGGGUUUAAAGGGCGCGUAGGCGGGCAGGUAAGUCAGUGGUGAAAUCUCCGGGCUUAACUCGGAAACUGCCGUUGAUACUAUCUGUCUUGAAUACCGUGGAGGUGAGCGGAAUAUGUCAUGUAGCGGUGAAAUGCUUAGAUAUGACAUAGAACACCAAUUGCGAAGGCAGCUCGCUACACGAAUAUUGACUCUGAGGCACGAAAGCGUGGGGAUCAAACAGG
rnacentral:rRNA from 1 species